rnacentral:rRNA from 1 species
UACGGAGGGUGCAAGCGUUGUCCGGAUUUAUUGGGUUUAAAGGGUGCGUAGGCGGCUAAUUAAGUCAGCGGUGAAAUUCCACAGCUUAACUGUGAGAACUGCCAUUGAUACUGGUUGGCUUGAGUACAGAUGAGGUAGGCGGAAUUGACAGUGUAGCGGUGAAAUGCUUAGAUAUUGUCAAGAACACCUAUUGCGAAGGCAGCUUACUAAACUGUAACUGACGCUGAGGCACGAAAGCGUGGGGAUCAAACAGG